GAUGAAGAACGUAGCGAAAUGCGAUACGUAAUGUGAAUUGCAGAAGUCAGUGAAUCAUCGAGUCUUUGAACGCACAUUGCGCCCCCUGGUAUUCCGGGGGGCAUGCCUGUCCGAGCGUCAUUGCUGCCCUCAAGCACGGCUUGUGUGUUGGGCCUCCGCCCCCCGGCUCCCGGGGGGCGGGCCCGAAAGGCAGCGGCGGCACCGCGUCCGGUCCUCGAGCGUAUGGGGCUUCGUCACCCGCUCCGUAGGCCCGGCCGGCGCCCGCCGGCGACCCCCCUCAAUCUUUCCAGGUUGACCUCGGAUCAGGUAGGGAUACCCGCUGAACUUAAGCAUAUCAAUAAGCGGAGGA
rnacentral:misc_RNA from 1 species